AUCUCAGUUCGGAUUGCAGGCUGCAACUCGCCUGCAUGAAGCUGGAAUUGCUAGUAAUCGCGGAUCAGAAUGCCGCGGUGAAUACGUUCCCGGGUCUUGUACACACCGCCCGUCACACCAUGGGAGUCGGAAAUGCCCGAAGUCGGUGACCCAACCGCAAGGAGGGAGCCGCCGAAGGCAGGUCGGAUGACUGGGGUGAAGUCGUAACAAGGUACC
rnacentral:rRNA from 1 species